rnacentral:rRNA from 1 species
GGCUCUUAACUGAGCAUGUGCUCGUCCAUCUAUUUAUCUUCUCUUGUGCACAUUUUGUAGUCUUGAACGUACCUCUCGCAGUUAAAUGCGGUUUGGGAGCUUGGGCGCAAGCCCUUCUCCUGCUUCUUCAAGGCUAUGUUUUCAUAUACACUAUUAAAGUUACAGAAUGUCUUUUAACGAUUGCGCUUGUCGUAGUCAUUAAACCUAUACAACUUUCAGCAACGGAUCUCUUGGCUCUCCUAUCGAUGAAGAACGCAGCGAAAUGCGAUAAGUAAUGUGAAUUGCAGAAUUCAGUGAAUCAUCGAAUCUUUGAACGCACCUUGCGCCCUUUGGUAUUCCGAAGGGCAUGCCUGUUUGAGUGUCAUUAAAUUAUCAACCUUGCUCGCUUUUACCGGCUUGAGUUAGGCUUGGAUGUGAGGGCUUGCUGGCUUCCUUCAGUGGAUGGUCUGCUCCCUUCAAAUGCAUUAGUGGGAUCUCUUGUGGACCGUCACUUGGUGUGAUCAUUAUUUAUGCCAUUUGACUUUGAAGCAAAGCUUAUGGGAACCCGCUCCUAACCGUCUUCGGACAACUUUUGACAUUUCGACCUCAAAUCAGGUAGGACUACCCGAU